AAGUCGUAACAAGGUCUCCGUAGGUGAACCUGCGGAGGGAUCAUUAAAACGUAUCCACGUAUAAACCUUUGUGAACCUGUUUUUCAUAACGAACGUGGGAGGAUAGCGCUCAAGACCUGUGAUUGAUCAAUCAGGAGGAGAUCAAUGUAUCAGGAGCUACCUCUUUUUUUCACGUCUCCUAUUUUUAACACUUAUUAACCCUAUGUAAAUUUUUAAUGUACUAACGAGUUUGAUGCGAAAGCAUUUAACUUGAAAAAACAUAAAAAAUUAUAGCACAACUCUUAGCAACGGAUAUCUAGGCUCUC
rnacentral:misc_RNA from 1 species